AUUAGUUUUUUAAUUGAAGGCUAGAAUGAAUGGUUGGACAAGAAAUAAUCUGUCUUAAAUUAAUAUAUUGAAUUUAACUUUUAAGUGAAAAGGCUUAAAUAAUCUGAAGGGACGAUAAGACCCUAUAAAACUUUAUAUUUGUAAGGUAGUAGUAAAUUUUAUUUUAAUUUAUUAUUUUAAAGUAUUUGGUUGGGGUGACAAGGAUAAAAUAUAAAAUAACUGUCUUUUUUUUUUACAGUAAUGUUUGAUUUAAUGAUCCUAAAAAGGAUUAAAGAUUAAGUUACUUUAGGGAUAACAGCGUAAUUUUCUUUAAGAGUUCUUAUCGACAAGAAAGUUUGCGACCUCGAUGUUGAAUUAAAAGUUCUUUAUAGAGUAGAGACUAUAAGAGAGGGUCUGUUCGACCUUUAAAAUUUUACAUGAUUUGAGUUCAGACCGGUGUGAG
rnacentral:rRNA from 1 species